ACCGUUCUUACAUUUGUAUUUAAUUCCACCUGAAGUAGAGUCUGUAACAGAUGUGCAUAUAGUUGGUACUAAGCAAAUAUUUGUUGAACAGAUGGAUCCAAAAAAUGAAUCAUGAUAUUUUAGACCUACAUGAGAUAACACAUGUUCACGUGGCCCAAUUCUUUCAUCUUACCAACCACAGAGCGGAAGCCAGGGGAUUAAAAGAGACAAACGGGAUCAUCCUGCCGAGUUGUCAUCUGUGUGUGGAAGUAAACAACAACCUGCUUACAUAGGCAAGGCCUCCAGGGAAGGAGCCGGCCGCUGGAAGGAGUGUGUUCCACCAACGGAAAAGAAGCAAGCAGAAACUCCAGAACAAGGACAAAACACAGAGCCAGCAUUUCAAGCAGCCCUGUGUUCUCUCCGUCUCUCCUCCCAACUUCUUCAUUUUAAAUUAUUCCAAUUAAAGGGUAAAAUUCGUUUA